rnacentral:tRNA from 1 species
GGAGGGGUGGCAGAGUUGGUCUAUCGCACCGCGCUUGAAACGCGGCGUCUCGGAAACGGGACCGUGAGUUCGAAUCUCACCCCCUCCG